AGCCGCAGCCGGCCCACCACGCCACGCUCGAACAGAGGGCAGUCGAACAGAGACAGCGGCGGCGGCGCCCCUCUCUCCCCUUGUCAAAUCUUCACUCAAAAUCGGCUGGAGCUUAAGCUUUUUUUCGUGGAUUUCAUCGCCCAUCCAUCCCUAAAGGAACACUUCGAGCAUGGCUCACGCGGUAGGAAGGAUGCCAAAAGCAGGGGUGUAGAUGUCCACGGCCAUUGCUGCCCAUCAGGACCCUCUUCGGCAUCUUCACUGGCGGGUCUGCUGAAUGAAACAAAGAUAUUGGGGUACUGCUGCGUAAUAACAGGUCUUUUGUCCCCUGCGCCUGAGGCCUCAUGAGGCUUCAUCCAAUAAGAUGAGAUAUGAUGAGCGGUACACACAGUACAUUGAGAGGCCGGGACUCCUUCCGUUCAUCCAGCUUGUCACUCGGUUGACGCCAAGCAUGAACCCUUGUGCCGAUCACCGCGCUUGUUGACCGCUGGAGGCCGGAGACUCAUAGUUUUCACCUCCGGACUGGGGAGAUGACUGUUACUCUCCAGGAUGUUUCGAUGAUCCUGGCACUUCCCAUCGAGGGAGUUCCUGUUUGUUUUAGCACUGGUGCUGCUGGUUGGCGCGCUAGGAUGUUUGAGCUUAUCGGUGCGGUUCCUGCGGUGCCGGAAGACCCGACUAAAAACAGAGUCCCCGCCGGCGCGACUUAUGUUUGGAUUGUAGAACAUUUUAGCCAGUGCCCUGAUGAUGCUAGCGAGGAGACGGUGCAACAAUAUGCACGCGCAUACUUGUGGUAUGUGAUCUCGAGGACUCUGUUUGCUGACGGUGGUGGCAGGACCGCUCCGUGGAUGUGGCUGAAGGCAUUAUCUGGUUGGGAUAGUAAACAGAGCCGGGGUUCGGCGGCACUUGCCUACUUGUACCGUCAGUUGGAUGAGGCGUGUUGUAGGCGCAAAGAUGAAGCUAGUAUUGGUGGUCCGUUGGUCCUACUUUCGGUUUGGAUGUGGGAACACUUCUCAGUUGGACGACCGAGAGUGAUUGGUUACGACGCCUGGGAUGAUCAUGACAACCCGCUACGGAAGCCUACAUGGGCGUACAAGUGGGACAAGGUUUCGGAGUUCACUGGUGACCCAAACAGGAUGUACAGGGAGUACACCAAUGAGUUUGACACGCUAACCUCCGAGCAGGUGACAUGGCAGCCAUAUGGAGCGCGGGACAAUUUUGCUUUCAUCUGUGAUUUCCAGUUGAACCCGAAGUGCACGGAGGAAUCACAUCUUUGGCUGAUGCGGUGCCCAUUGAUAUGCUUAUAUGCAGUCGAGUUCCACCUUCCACAGCGUGUGAUGACCCAAUUUGGAUUAUUUCAGGAUACACCGCCGAAAUGGAAGGACACGGAUGUCGCGCUUCACGGCUUGGACAAAAUGAAACAGAAGAAGAUCAAGAACUGGGAGUCAUAUCAUGACAAGUUCAUCAAGAAAUGGAAUUACGUCGUGAGGGUGGCUAAUGAUAACCGACAAGUACAUCUCCAAGAGUACGAUGAAGCUGCAUUUGACAAAUAUCUUCGUUGGUUUCUUAGCGAGUCCCGUGUGGAGUUAUGCCCACCUGCUUAUGAGGAGGGCAUAUUGGAGGCGCCCACAGGUUUUGAAGGGACUGCCAACCUUGAGUACAACAGGCUCAUCAGAGAGGGCAGACAAACCGGAUUCGCUCCUGUGAUCAACUUUAUUCGCACUGAGAUCUCGCGCCAAACUCCGCCUAUGUCUUCUAGGCAUAGCCGGUCCCAAGCCCGGGUAAAGGAGGAGGGUUGUGAUAGGCUUGGCGAGCCAACGUAAAAACUAGCCAGUCCCAUAGGUAUGAAACCGAUUUGAGCGAGAGUAGUACUAGGAUGGGUGACCUCCUGGGAAGUCCUUGUGAAAGAGUUUCAUAUCUAAGGGUUGUGAUAGGCUUGGCGAGCCAACGUAAAAACUAGCCAGUCUUUUGGGUAUGAAACCCAUUUGCGCGAGAGUAGUACUAGGAUGGGUGACCUCCUGGGAAGUCCUCGUGAAAGGGUUUCAUAUCUAGCCUACCCCAACUUGUUUGGGAUCAAAGGCUUCGUAAGUAAGUACUGAGAUCUCGCGCCAGAUUAGUGAAGCCGGCCAAGCACUCGCACAACCUCAGGGCAGGGAUUCUGAGAAUGCCCUUAGAGAGUUUGUUAAGUGUAGCGCUACUCGGCUACGUUCCUUAGCUCAUCUUCUUGGUUGCCGUACUGUCGAGGCCGACAUGCCCACCCAGUCGAGGUCCACUUCUUCUGAAGAGGAGGCGGCCGCCGAGAUGACCCUGAGGGGGUUUAUGGAUGAUGCACCUCAGCCUAGUCAGCCUAUUGAGCGGCGUCACUUCAACUUAAAGCCUAGGAAGACCUUCAACCGUUAUACACCGGAGGCAUGGAACAAGAAACAAAAGAGGACCGUUGUUGAGUCCGAGAACGAGUUUGAGGACGAGGAGGAGCCGG